GACGAACGCUGGCGGCGUGCCUAAUACAUGCAAGUCGAACGAGAGCAACCGGUGCUUGCACUGGUCAAUCUAGUGGCGAACGGGUGAGUAACACGUGGGUAACCUGCCCAUCAGAGGGGGAUAACAUCCGGAAACGGAUGCUAAAACCGCAUAGGUCUUCGAACCGCAUGGUUUGAAGAGGAAAAGAGGCGCAAGCUUCUGCUGGUGGGUGGGCCCGCUGUGCGUUAGCUAGGUGGUGAGGUAAAGGCUCACCAAGGCCGGGAUGCAUAGCCGACCUGAGAGGGUGAUCGGCCACAUUGGGACUGAGACACGGCCCAAACUCCUACGGGAGGCACCAGUAGGGCAUCUUGCGCAAUGGACGCAAGUCUGACGGAGCAACGCCGCGUGAGUGAAGAAGGUUUUCGGAUCGUAAGACUCUGUUGUUAGAGAAGAACAAGUGCUAGAGUAACUGUUAGCGCCUUGACGGUAUCUACACAGAAAGCCACGGCUAACUACGUG
rnacentral:rRNA from 1 species